CAAUAGCGUAUAUUAAAGUUGUUGCGGUUAAAAAGCUCGUAGUUGGAUUUCUGUGGUAGGCAGCCGGUCCACACUAUGUGUGAGUAUCUGGUUCGGCUACUGCAUCCUCCUGAGGAACGUUGGUGCGCUUCACUGCGUGGCACGGUAUUCAGGACUUUUACUUUGAGGAAAUUAGAGUGUUCACGGCAGGCGUUUGCCCUGAAUAUAUUAGCAUGGAAUAAUGAUAUAGGAUCCACGUCCUAUUUUGUUGGUUUCUAGGACGAGGAUAAUGAUUAAUAGGGAUAAUUGGGGGCAUUCGUAUUAACACGUCAGAGGUGGAAUUCUUGGAUUGUGUUACGACGAACUACUGCGAAAGCAUUUGCCAAGGAUGUUUUCAUUGA
rnacentral:rRNA from 1 species